rnacentral:sRNA from 1 species
AGCAACUUUUUAUGGUUUGGUUUUGUUAUACUAUCCCAUAAUAUCAGUGUCAUAUCUUGGAAUAUUUUAGAGUAUCUUAGGCGGAUUAGGUUGCUUAUCAUAGUUUGCAUGCUUUCUAAUUCGUGUGAUUUUGUUAGCUUAUUUAGUUAGGGUUACUAGUACAAAAGUAAGUGUUGGAAGUCUCACAUCGACUAGAGAUAAGGCCAUUUCAUAGUUUAUAAGUGGGUGCAAACCUCACCCUACAAGCCGGUUUUGUGGGGUUAAGUUAGGCUUAAAGUCCACUUCCAACAGUAAGGAUUAGUAAUUUAAGUCAAUAUGAAUUUUAACACAUC